UACGUAGGUGGCAAGCGUUAUCCGGAAUUAUUGGGCGUAAAGAGCGCGCAGGUGGUUGAUUAAGUCUGAUGUGAAAGCCCACGGCUUAACCGUGGAGUGUCAUUGGAAACUGGUCGACUUGAGUGCAGAAGAGGGAAGUGGAAUUCCAUGUGUAGCGGUGAAAUGCGUAGAGAUAUGGAGGAACACCAGUGGCGAAGGCGGCUUUCUGGACUGUAACUGACACUGAGGCACGAAAGCGUGGGGAGCAAACAGGAUUAGA
rnacentral:rRNA from 1 species